GUUCGAUAGUGCAGUGGUUAACACUCCGGGUAUAAUCGCAAGGUCGUGGGUUUGAAUCCCACCGGGGAACA